UAAGGAAUAUUGGUCAAUGGACGCAAGUCUGAACCAGCCAUGCCGCGUGAAGGAUUAAGGUCCUCUGGAUUGUAAACUUCUUUUAUCUGGGACGAAAAAAGGCGAUUCUUCGUCACUUGACGGUACCAGAUGAAUAAGCACCGGCUAACUCCGUGCCAGCAGCCGCGGUAAUACGGAGGGUGCAAGCGUUAUCCGGAUUCACUGGGUUUAAAGGGUGCGUAGGCGGGCAGGUAAGUCAGUGGUGAAAUCCUAGAGCUUAACUCUAGAACUGCCAUUGAUACUAUCUGUCUUGAAUAUUGUGGAGGUAAGCGGAAUAUGUCAUGUAGCGGUGAAAUGCUUAGAUAUGACAUAGAACACCUAUUGCGAAGGCAGCUUACUACGCAUAUAUUGACGCUGAGGCACGAAAGCGUGGGGAUCAAACAGG
rnacentral:rRNA from 2 species